GACGAACGCUGGCGGCGUGCUUAACACAUGCAAGUCGAACGGAAAGGCCCUGCUUUUGUGGGGUGCUCGAGUGGCGAACGGGUGAGUAGCACGUGAGUAACCUGCCCUUGACUUUGGGAUAACUUCAGGAAACUGGGGCUAAUACCGGAUAGGAGCUCCUGCUGCAUGGUGGGGGUUGGAAAGUUUCGGCGGUUGGGGAUGGACUCGCGGCUUAUCAGCUUGUUGGUGGGGUAGUGGCUUACCAAGGCUUUGACGGGUAGCCGGCCUGAGAGGGUGACCGGCCACAUUGGGACGGAGAUACGGCCCAGACUCCUACGGGAGGCAGCAGUGGGGAAGAUUGCACAGUGGGCGGAAGCCUGAUGCAGCAACGCCGCGUGCGGGAUGACGGCCUUCGGGUUGUAAACCGCUUUCGCCUGUGACGAAGCGUGAGUGACGGUAAUGGGUAAAGAAGCACCGGCUAACUACGUG
rnacentral:rRNA from 1 species